CGCUGGCGGCAGGCUUAACACAUGCAAGUCGAACGAUGAUUAUCUAGCUUGCUAGAUAUGAUUAGUGGCGGACGGGUGAGUAACAUUUAGGAAUCUGCCUAGUAGUGGGGGAUAGCUCGGGGAAACUCGAAUUAAUACCGCAUACGACCUACGGGUGAAAGGGGGCGCAAGCUCUUGCUAUUAGAUGAGCCUAAAUCAGAUUAGCUAGUUGGUGGGGUAAAGGCCCACCAAGGCGACGAUCUGUAACUGGUCUGAGAGGAUGAUCAGUCACACCGGAACUGAGACACGGUCCGGACUCCUACGGGAGGCAGCAGUGGGGAAUAUUGGACAAUGGGGGCAACCCUGAUCCAGCCAUGCCGCGUGUGUGAAGAAGGCCUUUUGGUUGUAAAGCACUUUAAGCAGGGAGGAGAGGCUAAUGGUUAAUACCCAUUAGAUUAGACGUUACCUGCAGAAUAAGCACCGGCUAACUCUGUGCCAGCAGCCGCGGUAAUACAGAGGGUGCGAGCGUUAAUCGGAAUUACUGGGCGUAAAGCGAGUGUAGGUGGCUCAUUAAGUCACAUGUGAAAUCCCCGGGCUUAACCUGGGAACUGCAUGUGAUACUGGUGGUGCUAGAAUAUGUGAGAGGGAAGUAGAAUUCCAGGUGUAGCGGUGAAAUGCGUAGAGAUCUGGAGGAAUACCGAUGGCGAAGGCAGCUUCCUGGCAUAAUAUUGACACUGAGAUUCGAAAGCGUGGGUAGCAAACAGGAUUAGAUACCCUGGUAGUCCACGCCGUAAACGAUGUCUACUAGCCGUUGGGGUCCUUGAGACUUUAGUGGCGCAGUUAACGCGAUAAGUAGACCGCCUGGGGAGUACGGCCGCAAGGUUAAAACUCAAAUGAAUUGACGGGGGCCCGCACAAGCGGUGGAGCAUGUGGUUUAAUUCGAUGCAACGCGAAGAACCUUACCUGGUCUUGACAUAGUGAGAAUCCUGCAGAGAUGCGGGAGUGCCUUCGGGAAUUCACAUACAGGUGCUGCAUGGCUGUCGUCAGCUCGUGUCGUGAGAUGUUGGGUUAAGUCCCGCAACGAGCGCAACCCUUUUCCUUAUUUGCCAGCGGGUUAAGCCGGGAACUUUAAGGAUACUGCCAGUGACAAACUGGAGGAAGGCGGGGACGACGUCAAGUCAUCAUGGCCCUUACGACCAGGGCUACACACGUGCUACAAUGGUAGGUACAGAGGGUUGCUACACAGCGAUGUGAUGCUAAUCUCAAAAAGCCUAUCGUAGUCCGGAUUGGAGUCUGCAACUCGACUCCAUGAAGUCGGAAUCGCUAGUAAUCGCAGAUCAGAAUGCUGCGGUGAAUACGUUCCCGGGCCU
rnacentral:rRNA from 1 species